rnacentral:rRNA from 1 species
AGAGUUUGAUCCUGGCUCAGGAUGAACGCUGGCGGUAUGCUUAACACAUGCAAGUCGAACGAAAGUUUUUAACUUUAGUGGCGAACGGGUGCGUAAUACGUGAGAAUCUGCCCUUAGGAGAAGAAUAACUGCUGGAAACGGCUGCUAAAUCUUCAUAUGCCGAGAGGUGAAAUAGUUUAGGCUGCCUAAGGAUGAGCUCGCGCCUGAUUAGCUAGUUGGUAAGGUAAUGGCUUACCAAGGCCACGAUCAGUAGCUGGUUUGAGAGAACGAUCAGCCACACUGGGACUGAGACACGGCCCAGACUCCUCCGGGAGGCAGCAGUGAGGAAUUUUCCGCAAUGGGCGAAAGCCUGACGGAGCAAUACCGCGUGAGGGAUGAAGGAUUUUGGUCUGUAAACCUCUUUUCUCAAGAAAGAAGUUCUGACGGUACUUGAGGAAUAAGCAUCGGCUAACUCCGUGCCAGCAGCCGCGGUAAUACGGGGGAUGCAAGCGUUAUCCGGAAUCAUUGGGCGUAAAGCGCCUGUAGGUUGUUUAAUAAGUCUGUUGUUAAAGACUAGGGCUUAACCCUAGAAAAGCAAUGGAAACUACUAGACUAGAGUAUGGCAGGGGUAGAGGGAAUUUCUAGUGUAGCGGUGAAAUGCGUAGAUAUUAGAAAGAACACCGGUGGCGAAAGCGCUCUACUGGACCAUUACUGACACUCAGAGGCGAAAGCUAGGGUAGCAAAAGGGAUUAGAUACCCCUGUAGUCCUAGCCGUAAACGAUGGAUACUAGAUGUUGCGUUUAUUAUGCAGUAUCGUAGCUAACGCGUUAAGUAUCCCGCCUGGGGAGUACGCUCGCAAGGGUGAAACUCAAAGGAAUUGACGGGGGCCCGCACAAGCGGUGGAGCAUGU